GGCCUUUUGAUAUUAAUUUAAGGUCCGGCCUGCCCAAUGAGUAUAUUCAAUGGCUGCAGUAUUUUAACUGUACAAAGGUAGCAUAAUCAUUAGUUUUUUAAUUAAAAACUAGUAUGAAUGGUUUAAUGAGAAAAAAUCUGUCUUUAUUUAAUUUUUUAGAGAAAUUUAUUUUUAAGUUAAAAAGCUUAAAUUUAUUUAAAAGACGAGAAGACCCUAUAGAGUUUUAUAAUUAAUUAGUUAAUAAGGUUUUAAGUAUAGAUUUUUUAUUUAAUUAAUAAAUUAUUUAAUUGGGGUGAUUUAAAAAUUUAAUUAACUUUUUAAUAUUUAAAACAUUUAUUUAUGUAUAAUUGAUCCAUAUAUUGUGAUUAAAAGAUUAAAUUACCUUAGGGAUAACAGCGUAAUUUUUUUGGAGAGUUCUUAUCAAUAAAAAAGAUUGCGACCUCGAUGUUGGAUUAAAAUUUACUAUUGGCGCAGAAGUUAAUAAGUUGGGUCUGUUCGACCUUUAAAAUUUUACAUGAUCUGAGUUUAAACCGGUGUGAGCCAGG
rnacentral:rRNA from 1 species